AUUGAACGCUGGCGGCAGGCUUAACACAUGCAAGUCGAGCGGAGAUGAGGUGCUUGCACCUUAUCUUUGCGGCGGACGGGUGAGUAAUGCUUAGGAAUCUGCCUAUUAGUGGGGGACAACAUUCCGAAAGGAAUGAUAAUACCGCAUACGUCCUACGGGAGAAAGCAGGGGAUCUUCGGACCUUGCGCUAAUAUAUGAGCCUAAGUCGGAUUAGCUAGUUGGUGGGGUAAAGGCCUACCAAGGCGACGAUCUGUAGCGGGUCUGAGAGGAUGAUCCGCCACACUGGGACUGAGACACGGCCCAGACUCCUACGGGAGGCAGCAGUGGGGAAUAUUGGACAAUGGGGGGAACCCUGAUCCAGCCAUGCCGCGUGUGUGAAGAAGGCCUUAUGGUUGUAAAGCACUUUAAGCGAGGAGGAGGCUACUGAGACUAAUACUCUUGGAUAGUGGACGUUACUCGCAGAAUAAGCACCGGCUAACUCUGUGCCAGCCGCCGCCGUAACAC
rnacentral:rRNA from 1 species